rnacentral:rRNA from 1 species
GGGGUGACGGCGUACCUUUUGUAUAAUGGGUCAGCGACUUACGUUCAGUAGCAAGCUUAACCGUAUAGGGCAGGCGUAGCGAAAGCGAGUCCGAAUAGGGCGUUCAGUUGCUGGGCGUAGACCCGAAACCAGGUGAUCUAUCCAUGGCCAGGAUGAAGGUGCGGUAACACGUACUGGAGGUCCGAACCCACUAACGUUGAAAAGUUAGGGGAUGAGCUGUGGAUAGGGGUGAAAGGCUAAACAAACCUGGAAAUAGCUGGUUCUCUCCGAAAACUAUUUAGGUAGUGCCUCGUGUCUCACCUUCGGGGGUAGAGCACUGUCAUGGUUGGGGGGUCUAUUGCAGAUUACCCCGCCAUAGCAAACUCCGAAUACCGAAGAGUGCAAUCACGGGAGACAGACAUCGGGUGCUAACGUCCGGUGUCAAGAGGGAAACAACCCAGACCGCCAGCUAAGGUCCCCAAAUAUGGCUAAGUGGGAAACGAAGUGGGAAGGCUAAAACAGUCAGGAGGUUGGCUUAGAAGCAGCCACCCUUUAAAGAAAGCGUAAUAGCUCACUGAUCGAGUCGUCCUGCGCGGAAGAUGUAACGGGGCUAAGCCAUAUACCGAAGCUGCGGAUGCG